rnacentral:lncRNA from 1 species
GGAACAGCCCCAGAGUGGGCAGAUGCCGCGCCCGCAUAAAGCGGCAGGGGCCAGGAGGAAAGGGCGGCAGAAUGGACGCCACGGACGGUAAGCUGCCGCCCAUGGAUGGGAACACCAGGUGCAGACCAGCUGGGGUAGGGCCACGGCAUCCAUGGCUCUCCAGGUGUGUGCCCACGUGCCCUAUGUGUCACCUGGCCCCACUGCCCACUGCCACGUGCAUGUGCCUCUGCCUAGCUUGGGAGGCAGCUCAUGCUAAGCAAAGGUGUGCACGAGGUCUUCCCGUCUAUUCUUAACCUUCACCCAGAGGCACCACAGAGGGACUCUGCUCCAAACCAAGAGUGUGCUCCUGCCCCCUGCCUCCCCACCGCACCCCUGUCCUGGCGCAGAGCCCUGGAUCAGGCAUUCGGCACAGCUCAGGUGAGCUCUAAUGCUCACUGACAGCUGCCUCAGGUGACCAGAAAGCUGGGCCUGGGCAACAUCUCUUCACCUUCCUCGGCCAGGUAUUAAAGAGAAUAAGGAUCAUGACCCACGCUCCCAGUGCCAGAAAACUAGGUUCCUUUCCGUGUUAGUUCCUCCCUGAAAGGAAGAGUCACACUAUCAACUAAACAGCUCUGAAAACUCUCUCCUAUCCACUGUGCUCUCCAUAGCACAAGUCACAUGGACACACACACACACACAAGCACACGAAAAAGAGGCCAGCCUUGCUAGUGUAAAAAAAAAAAAAAAAAAAAAAAAAAAGACAUGCCACUAAAACAGUGUGUAAAUGAUUUUUACUCUUCAUGCAUUCGACUGGGAAUAGGCUGAAGUUAGGGAAGAAAAGGCACGCCUUACACCAGUGCAGGGAGAGAGGGUAAGCCUUGCAGGAGGGCGAUGUGCAACCUACAUACAAAAGGUGCCCUGUACCUGCCCUGGAGGCUGUGCCCUAUGGGGGGGUCCCUAAGUGUCUGUCCUGGAGGAUGUGUCCUAUGGUGGUGGGGGGGUCCCUCAGUGUCUGUCUUGGAGGCUGUGCCCUAUGAGGGGGGGUCCCCCAGUGUCUGUCCUGGAGGCUGUGCCCUAUGAUGGGGGGUCCCU